rnacentral:rRNA from 1 species
UACAGAGGGUGCGAGCGUUGUUCGGAAUUAUUGGGCGUAAAGCGCGUGUAGGCGGCUUUGCAAGUCGGGUGUGAAAGCCCUCGGCUCAACCGAGGAAGUGCGCCCGAAACUGCAGAGCUUGAGUACCGGAGAGGAUGGCGGAAUUCCCCAAGUAGAGGUGAAAUUCGUAGAUAUGGGGAGGAACACCGGUGGCGAAAGCGGCUUCCUGGCCCGACACUGACGCUCAUGUACGAAAGCGUGGGGAGCAAACAGG